GCCGGGCACGGUGGUGCGUGUCUUUAAUCCCAGCUACUCAGGAGGCUGAGGCAGGAGAAUCACUUGAACCCGGGAGGUGGAGGUUGCAGUGAGCUGAGAUUGGAUCACUGCACUCCAGCCUGGGCAAUAAAGUGAGAUUCUGUCUCAA
ensembl:misc_RNA Metazoa_SRP Metazoan signal recognition particle RNA